rnacentral:rRNA from 1 species
UUUAUAUGAGAGUUUGAUCCUGGCUCAGGAUGAACGCUGGCGGCGUGCCUAAUACAUGCAAGUCGAACGAGUUCUCGUUGAUGAUCGGUGCUUGCACCGAGAUUCAACAUGGAACGAGUGGCGGACGGGUGAGUAACACGUGGGUAACCUGCCCUUAAGUGGGGGAUAACAUUUGGAAACAGAUGCUAAUACCGCAUAGAUCCAAGAACCGCAUGGUUCUUGGCUGAAAGAUGGCGUAAGCUAUCGCUUUUGGAUGGACCCGCGGCGUAUUAGCUAGUU